GCUAUAGCCAAUAGCCUGCAGCAUCUUGCUGCAGGCAUCCAAUGAGCUGCUGGCUGCCCUCCCCUUCCUUUCCUAUAGAGCUGUAGUCGUCAGGAUCGUAAUGGAGGACAUUCUGUCCCCCCUGAAGGCCUCCAGCCUGUGAGAAACUGUAUCCCUGGGCAGCUGUUAGGCUACAGGCCUAAAGUGACUGUAGACUAUAAGAGUGAAUAGUGGGGCAGGAAGACGACAGCUCCUAUUCGCCAUUCUGCUUCACUGCCUCCCCUAAUCCAGAGAUUCGCUUGGAGAUCCAGGGCACCAGACUAAAGACCAGGUGAUAGAGUUGCAUAUGAACCAAUUGCUGAACUCAGCUGAUGUAAAGGCGAAGAUUGGAUGGUUGGUGGAGAGGUCACCCGCGCAGAUGAAGGAGAAGGUCCUGCCGAUGAUACAAUUAUGUUGAUAGGUGAACUGGU